UGAGGAAUAUUGCGCAAUGGGGGAAACCCUGACGCAGCCAUGCCGCGUGAGUGAAGAAGGCCUUAGGGUUGUAAAGCUCUUUCAGUCGUGAAGAUAAUGACGGUAGCGACAGAAGAAGCCCCGGCUAAAUUCGUGCCAGCAGCCGCGGUAAUACGAAUGGGGCAAGCGUUGUUCGGAAUCACUGGGCUUAAAGCGUGCGCAGGCGGAUAUGAAAGUCAGGAGUGAAAUCCCGAGGGCUCAACCUUGGAAUUGCUUUUAGAAACUCCAUAUCUAGAAUCCGGUAGAGGUCAGUGGAAUUCCGAGUGUAGAGGUGAAAUUCGCAGAUAUUCGGAGGAACACCAGUGGCGAAGGCGACUGACUGGACCGGUAUUGACGCUCGAGGCACGAAAGCGUGGGGANCGA
rnacentral:rRNA from 1 species